rnacentral:rRNA from 1 species
GACGAACGCUGGCGGCGUGCCUAAUACAUGCAAGUAGAACGCACAGUUUAUACCGUAGCUUGCUACACCAUAAACUGUGAGUUGCGAACGGGUGAGUAACGCGUAGGUAACCUGCCUGGUAGCGGGGGAUAACUAUUGGAAACGAUAGCUAAUACCGCAUAAUAUUAAUUAUUGCAUGAUAAUUGAUUGAAAGAUGCAAUUGCAUCACUACCAGAUGGACCUGCGUUGUAUUAGCUAGUAGGUGAGGUAACGGCUCACCUAGGCGACGAUACAUAGCCGACCUGAGAGGGUGAUCGGCCACACUGGGACUGAGACACGGCCCAGACUCCUACGGGAGGCAGCAGUAGGGAAUCUUCGGCAAUGGACGAAAGGCUGACCGAGCAACGCCGCGUGAGUGAAGAAGGUUUUCGGAUCGUAAAGCUCGGUUGUAAGAGAAGAACGGGUGUGAGAGUGGAAAGUUCACAAUGUGACGGUAUCUUACCAGAAAGGGACGGCUAACUACGUG